AUAGAGAGCUAGCAGGCAGGGUGCUUGGUCGGAUAACCUGCUAGCUCGAGUUGCGGACGGCUGUGGGUUAAUUUUCGAGAAGGCAUGCCUCCUGUGUGAUGUCCAGGUCGAGCAUCACGGCCACGUUGCGUAGGAUCUCGAACCUAUACAAGCGCAACGUGGCUACAGCCGGAUGGUGUCGUUCGUCAUGCGACGACUAAGACAUGUCGUUCGUCAUGCGACGACUAAGACAUGUCGUUCGUCAUGCGACGACUAAGACAUCCGGUAUCGACCUCAACCGAAAAUUUAUCCAAGCACCCACCCGGACCCGACGAUGAACAUCGAGACCCUGUCCCAAAGCACCAAAGUGCCAACGAUUUGGAACAUGACUCCGAUCCCAAACACCGAGGAGCCGACGAUUUGGAUCCUGACCCUGACCCGAAGCGAGAAGGAGCCGACGAUUUGGAUCAACACCCCGAUCCCAAGCACCAAGGAGCCGACGAUUUGGAUCAAAACCAACAUCCCAAGCACCAAGGUGCCUGGUUGAUAUGGUUCACGAUCCCGAUCUGGAGCUCCAGGGCGCCGAGGAUUUCGAUCAAGAUCCCGAUUUGAAGCACCGAGUAGCCGAGGAUAUGGAUCAAGACCCCGGUCCGAAGCGACAAGGAGGCAAGGAUUUGGAUCGCCACUCCGAUCAAAGGCACCAAGGCGUCGAGGGAUUGGAUCGAGAUCCCGGUCCCAAUCAUGAAGUAGGCUAUGUUAUUUCCUGUAUUCCACACCGUUCAGGGCAUUUUGGUGGUCGUAUCGGCUUUUUGUUGCUUGCUUGGCGUUACUGCCAAGGGAGUGGCUGGAAGCUAGGUCGUUCUCUGGAAUGCUUGUUGUAAAGGUGUAUGAGUUGUGUUUGGCUUGUUACGGGUGUUUGUUGGCUGCUUGUGCAGGAACUUUCAUGCGUCCAAGCCUCUUCAGUUGUGCUACAAGGCCUUGUUUGUCUUGUGCAUACGGUGGGUUUCCUGUGUUGCAUACCUAAUCAAGGGCAUCGUAUGGCUUGAUCGAAGUAAAUAUUCGUAAUGCGCUGCUUGCGGCGUUGAACGAACCUCGAAGUGGUCUCUGUGGCCCAUGUUGUCCUUGCUCAUGCAUGGAUGGCAUGGCCCUCGGAGCGUCGCUUGGUCUCUUGGAUACGGAACCUGAUGAUGUGGGCGGUAGGGUCUUUGAUGAUUCUACCUUCGCCUUCCAUGAGCGUUCUCGCUUCUCUAAACGACCGUCUGUCAUGCGUCGGCAUGUCCGUGCAUGGUGGGCUUAGUCGAAGAGGAAUGCUAC
rnacentral:misc_RNA from 1 species